AAAAAAAAAAAAAAAAGAAUAUUAGAACUGCAUUUUUCUGGGUUAAAGGAUUUGGCAUUUAACUAUAAAAUAUAACUACAUCCAAUAUAUUUGAUCAAAAUAAAGCCUCGUGAGCUUCUAUACCGUAAUUCACGUUUCCAAUCCUGAUCAAGAAAACGCUUACGAUAAGAUGUGGUAGAUAAGCAUAUGCACGAAUCUGGAUGACCAAGACUUUAACAGACUUCCGCCAAAUUUGAGCCCGUCAUCGACAACAUGAGCAGGAAAAGAGUGGCAAAGUGAUGAAAACGAAGAUCCUGAAGCUAAUACAGCCAGAAAAACGGAUAGUGACGAUUGAACUAAGGAAAAUUUAAAAUGCUGAAAUUAAAUGGAAGAAAAAAGAAAUUCAAGCCGAAAACAAGAAGAAAUAAAGAAGCAAUAAUAGACUCAAACCAGCAAUCUUUGCAAAUGCAAGAAUGUAGAACCCAGCAGUAAUUACGUGCCCGAGUCCUGCAGUUCGAAUGUUCCAGUACUCGUCGGCAACACUUCUGGACCUAGCAGUAUGCUUAAGACUACUACAUCAAUCAGCAACACACCUGUACCAGUCAGCAACUUGAAAGAACUCUGCUAUACUCGUGUGUCUGUGCCAUACAAUAACUCAGUUGUACUUAAUGGUCAAGAUGUGUUAACCUCUGUCAGCAACACCUCAGUGCCUUACAGUUAAAAUAAGCCUGUACCAGUAAGCAACUCGAAAGAACCCUACUGUCAUAAUCGUGUGCUUGUGCCAAAUAACAAAAUUUCGAAUGUAAUUCUUUGAGAUUUAUUUUUAAUCAACUGCUCUAAUAAUGAUGACUGUGCUAUUCAAAAUCUCAACACUCUUAGCCUAUGGUCUUUUCUCAAAGAUUCAGUGUUUGAUGAUUUGUGGAUUCAAAGGAGAGUAUAUAUAUAUAUACAUUAUUUGCUGUGGUUCGGAAUUACCAUAGUGCUUAACAGUAAUCUUAUUACAGUUUAUUUCUAGUCAUCAUGAUCUAUUGUUUUAAAAUAUUAAUUAAGCUCUCAUUUUAAUUGUAUAAUUUCAUUUUGAUUAUGUUUAUAACCUAAAUUCAAAUCUUUGUCAGAAAUUAAUCUGUUAUGUUAAUAAAUAUUUUUGCUUUUUACAUAUCUAUACGCAUGGGGGGGAUGCGCAUCGAUGGGCUGAUAUAAUUUUUAUCUUUCUAUUUCAAAUUGGUAUAAUUGUCAAUUUUGUGAAAUAUUACAUGGUAACUGUUGUAAGUUUCAUAUAAUGUCCAAAAAUUGUUACAGAUAUAGCACCCCCUUGUAAUUAACCUUUUACAAAUUUACUCUAUGGGACAUAAACUGACAAAUCAUUGGAAAAAAUUCAACUCUACUCCAUGAAAUGUAUUUGAAUUUUAAUAUCACAUGUAUAAUGUGUCUAUUUUUUUUAUCAUUUUAAAAAUUUGUUUGCAUCCUUAGGAUCAUUAUGAAUUUGUGUUAAUUACUUAUUGAACUACGUAUUACAUAUAUUGUUAGAAAUAUUUAAAACUACUAUACAUCUGUACAAUCUCCUUUGUUAGUUAUGUGAUUAUUAUUAAUGUACUUGUCAACUGAUGAAAAAUUUAAGCUGUUACACAGGCAUAAUUAUGUAUUGUUAAAUACAGUU